GACUCUGAUGAUGAAAGGAUUUUGCACUUUCGCCUUUACUGAGUUUUGGUGUGCUGAAAAAACAAGUUGGAGACCUGAGCUGAGGAGUU